rnacentral:rRNA from 1 species
GAUCCUGGCUCAGGACGAACGCUGGCGGCGUGCUUAACACAUGCAAGUCGAACGAGAAUCUGUGGAACGAGGAUUCGUCCAAGUGAAGCAGAGGACAGUGGCGGACGGGUGAGUAACGCGUGAGGAACCUGCCUUUCAGAGGGGGACAACAGUUGGAAACGACUGCUAAUACCGCAUGACACAUAGAUGUCGCAUGGCAUUUAUGUCAAAGAUUUAUCGCUGAAAGA